UCCGAUAUGGUCUAGUGGCUAGGAUUUGCCGCUCUCAUCAAGCACCCCCAGCUUGAGCAGCGCCGGCAAGGCCCGGGUUCAAUUCCCGGUGUCGGAA